GAUGAACGCUAGCGGCAGGCUUAAUACAUGCAAGUCGAACGGUAACAGGCCCGGCAACGGGUGCUGACGAGUGGCGCACGGGUGCGUAACACGUAUGCAACCUACCCUUAACCGGGACAUAACACUGAGAAAUUAGUGCUAAUAUUCCAUGGUAUUACGAAGAGGCAUCUUUUUGUAAUUAAAGAUUUAUUGGUUAGGGAUGGGCAUGCGUCCCAUUAGUUAGUUGGAGUGGUAACGGCACACCAAGACGAUGAUGGGUAGGGGUCCUGAGAGGGUUAUCCCCCACACUGGUACUGAGACACGGACCAGACUCUUACGGGAGGCAGCAGUAAGGAAUAUUGGGCAAUGGGCGGGAGCCUGACCCAGCCAUGCCGCGUGCAGGAAGACGGCCCUAUGGGUUGUAAACUGCUUUUGUUUGGGACUAACAGCCGGGUCGUGACCCGGCCUGCAGGUACCGAAUGAAUAAGCAUCGGCUAACUCCGUGCCAGCCGCCGCUGUAAUAC
rnacentral:rRNA from 1 species